rnacentral:rRNA from 1 species
GAUGAACGCUGGCGGCGUGCCUAAUACAUGCAAGUCGAGCGAACAGAUAAGGAGCUUGCUCCUUUGACGUUAGCGGCGGACGGGUGAGUAACACGUGGGUAACCUACCUAUAAGACUGGGAUAACUUCGGGAAACCGGAGCUAAUACCGGAUAACAUUUGGAACCGCAUGGUUCUAAAGUGAAAGAUGGUUUUGCUAUCACUUAUAGAUGGACCCGCGCCGUAUUAGCUAGUUGGUAAGGUAACGGCUUACCAAGGCGACGAUACGUAGCCGACCUGAGAGGGUGAUCGGCCACACUGGAACUGAGACACGGUCCAGACUCCUACGGGAGGCAGCAGUAGGGAAUCUUCCGCAAUGGGCGAAAGCCUGACGGAGCAACGCCGCGUGAGUGAUGAAGGGUUUCGGCUCGUAAAACUCUGUUAUUAGGGAAGAACAAAUGUGUAAGUAACUGUGCACGUCUUGACGGUACCUAAUCAGAAAGCAACGGCUAACUACGUG